AUCCGCCAUCUUGCUAUUCGCUGUCACCUUUUGGUGGUCGCCGGUUGGUCGACGAGGCUGGGCUGUAAAAUUAAUGGCAGGACGCGCUUCACUUUGAACGAAUGCACACAUUCUGUUUUUGAAUCUCGCUUGAGCGAACAUUUCUUGCCAGCAACCACAUUCUACAGAAAGAUUUUAGUUGCUUCAAUCGAGCUACUUCUAGACGAGAGAAAAAAAUGCAUAAAGAAGCGAGUUGAGGAAGUAAAGUGCCACAGCAAGCAGGGCUGUGAUGCCGCCAGACACGGCCUCCACGACACGCGAUACUCGAACUUUAUCGCCGAGAGCGAGGCGCUGGCGACGGUAAUUACAGGCUGCUGACACUGCUGACAUCACUCAUCGGACUGUUUAAGGCCUGGAGCACUUCAUCGUCUGACGACCGUUACCAUAGUUACGCUUGGACGGACAAACGCGAACCGUUUGGUAAGUGGUUCAACCGGACCGGAUCCAUUGCACAAACAGGUUUCCGAACCGCACUACUUUAACUCACGGCGCGUGCAUUACAGAAAUAAAAAAAGGAAAAAAUCCA